GCCCCCGUGGUGGAGUGGUUACCACAUAGCUCUUAUAUUUUCGGGUCAAGCCGGAGGUAUGCUAGGGUCGCCAGUUCGAACCUGGCCGGGGGCA